UGCACUUGGCUCAAAAUCUUCAGCAUAUUCAAAAAUAAUUAAAAGCCACUUAAUUUGCUUUAACAGUUAGAUAUUUGAAUACUGUGAGUUUUUCAUAGAAGCAUAACCUUUCUGCUGAUUUAGAGCCUCCUAAUGAGUUGCUUCAGAAGGAUAAUGCACCAAAACUGCAGUCAUUAUUCAGAAAGAACUGAAAUCAGAGGGAGUCUUGCAUGAAAUAUGAUAGAAGGAUUUGGUCUAUUGUUUAUUUUUGAAGGAGAAGGUUAGUAGCCACUCAGAGUGGUUCACAGAGUGAUCUCAUAAGAGGCCUUGAGAGAAGGUAAUGGAAAUAGUAUGACAGCUACAGGCAGUUUGUCAGUGAGAGAGAGGCUCACAAGUCAGUCAGAUGGUCAGGCUGUGAUACGGGGGAGGAGGGAUUCUUCACUCUCUCAGUUCUGAUAUCCGUGCCACUAAAAUUAGCUUUUUAAUGUAGAAAUUUCCUGUACUCAUUGCAGUUUGUUGGGUCCUGUUAAUCUAACAUUGUACAGAAUAUACUUUUGGAGGGUAUAACUAGAGACCAUCUACAGCAGUGAUUCCCAAACCUUUUACUAAGGUGACCCACCAACUGCAUCUUAUUUUUGUUUUUUUGUUUUUUUUGCAAUCCAGCCAGGGUCCAGAUUCAUGGGGGAAAUACAAAAUCAUAAGCGAGAACCCUUCUCCUCACUUUGAUGAGAGGGCACUGACCACCCUCCAUAGCACCUUCUGCCCUGACACUGCAAUCCUAAUCCUGGCCUCGUGUGGAGGGGGGGUUGGAGAGCAAGCCUGCUCCACACUCACCACACAGCAAUGACUCCCACUCUGUGGGGCAAGGCUUGGUUCCCCGCUUUAGGGGUUGUGGCACUAUUCAGGUUUGGACCUGCUGCCCCUUCCUCAUGGCAGAGAGGUAGCUGGGACAAAUAUGAAUGACUGGUGUUGUGACCUGGCGCACAGGGUUGCACAAGUUUGGCCCAGCCAUCUCUCCAUCAUGGCAUAGUGUUAUAAAAAUUACAGCACUUACUGUUUUUUUUUUUUUUUUUUUUACCGGUACAUCCCUUUUGACUCUACCUUCCCCAAACAGUUGAGUUACUAAUCUAAUACAGGCAAUACAUUUUCCAUUUAUCUUUGAUUUUUGUUUUUAUUUUGGUUAACUGCAUUUCUAUAAAUGGGAUUUGGUGUUUCAGCCAUUGUAAUUAAAAUACACCUGCUGAUUUAAGUCACAAAUUCUAAACAGGUGCCUGUCUCUGUAAACAGGUGCCUGUCUCUGUUUUAUUUUCACCAUACAGGCUAUUUUUCCCAACAUGAUUGUUAUGUAAUAGGAAUCUGAGGGAGGGCAGAUGGAAGGAGUGGUAGUACUCUCCCAAGCUCUGACCUCAAGCCAAGCUCUUCACACUGAAGAUCCCCAGGUGAGAUUCCACUCUCAGAAGACUGGAUAAGUUCAAAACAUGAUUCGACUAAUUGUCAUGUCAUGGAAUUAUUACUUCAG